ACCCACUGAUGUUUAAUUAUUGUACUAUUAUUUCAAAUUAAAGAAAUGAACAAGAAACCACCUAUUGGUUGAUUCGUUCUAUUUUAGUCCUCCCAUAUAAAGCCGUCUUUGCUGCGUAUUUCUUUGUUAAAUCUCCUAUAAUUUAAACCCAAAUUCGUCUUCGUUUAUUCUGGUUUUGUCGUCUUCUUCUACUAUGUCGAUGGUAUAUGGCAUCCAAGGCCAACUCCUUGAAGUCACUGUUGUUGCUUGUAUCAAAUUGAAGGAUACUGAAUGGAUUUCAAGGCAAGAUCCCUACGUUUGUCUUGAAUACGGCAGUUCUAAAUACCGUACUCGUACCUGUACUGAUGGCGGGAAAAAUCCUACAUUUCAAGAGAAAUUCGUGUUUACACUCAUUGAAGGGUUGCGAGAGAUUAGCGCUGUUGUCUGGAAUAGCAAUACCGUUAAUACAGAUGAUUUCAUAGGAAGCGGAAAGAUUCAACUACAGAAAGUUCUGUCACAUGGAUACGACGAUACUGCUUGGCCACUCCAGACGAAGAGGGGCAGGCAUGCAGGAGAGGUUCGACUAAUAAUGCAUUACGCAAAUGCCAAUAAGCCUGCAACAAGCCAUGCUCCAUCAGGCUCUCCAUAUGGAGCACCAACUCUUGGAUCAUAUCCAUAUUCGGCAGCUCCGCAACAUGCAGUUUAUCACCCACCACCUUCUGCCUAUCCAGCACCAUCUCACCCACCACCUUCUGCGUAUCCGGCACCAUCUCCUUAUCCCGCAGUCCCGCCUCCUUCAGCAGCAUAUCAUCCACCAUCUCCUUAUCCUCCUCAACCGACUGCUUAUCCUUCACCUUACUCAUCAACUUCAGCAUAUCCACCUCCGCCUUAUCCUCCACAGGGUUACUCUUAUCCUCCAGGUCCAUACCCUGGAGCCUAUCCUCCGCGAUCACACUGAUGCUGUGUCUUAAAUGCUUGGACAACGAAUGUGCACAUAUAUCCUUUCAUUUAGUAGUCUUAUAGCUUUGUCUGACGUCGUAAUUUCAGGACUUCUCAUGACAUGGUUGUGAUUGCUAUACUGAGGCUGUAUGAUAUUGUAGAAUCUGAAAAGGUUCCAAAAGAAGCUUAGGUGUUAGUUGCCUGUUUUAUGUUCCCUGAAGCGGAAUGUAUAGCAAUAAUCUAUCAGAUAGGUUUCACUGGCUUUUGUACAAGAAUUAUGACGCCUCAUAGUAGAGUCUGGAAUCACCGAAUUGUCAUUCUUGUUUACAGGGCACAUUUCAGAUUAUAUUCUUUGGAUUUUUACAUCAUGUUGAUAGUCGAUAUGCCAGCUUUAUUUGUUGAACAAAGCAGAAGAAUAUUUUUCUCGGAAUCUUGCCUCUUGGCCACUGAAAUUGAAUUUAUCAUGGUCUGAUGCGUUCAUGCAGGGUCUGAGGAAGAGCCACGAUUAAAUAUUUAAAAAAUUUAUGAGCCAUUUGAGAUAUGAAGUGUCUUUGUAAGCACCCUUCAUCUCAACCUUAAGAUUGUGAUUUCGAGUCUCUAAGGGAGCAAAGUGGGGAACUCCUGGGGAGAAAAACAAGUGUCUUUGUAAACGGGUACUCCCUCCAUUUCAAUUUAUAUGACACAUUUUGCUUAUCGAGAA